rnacentral:lncRNA from 1 species
UACAAUUUGUUUUUUCAAUUGGUAUAAAAGGAGUUGAAAAUGAAACUUAUUAUUAUUCUCAAAUUAUGAAAAAUACAUUCUCAAACCUUCUAUUUGUAAUAAUCUAGAUCUCCUAAAAAGGGAAAUAGGGAAACUAGGAAACCUAGGGAAAAAUAAAAUAAAAUAAAAUAUUAUGUAUCUAUUUCCUCUAAUUAGGAAGAUUCUACNAAUAUUAUCCCAUAUUACAACACUCCCCCUCAAGUUGGUAAAUGAAUAUCAAUCAUUCCCAACUUGCCUACAAGAUNUUGAAAUCUACCCGGAGGAAGCCCUUUUGUGAAAAUAUAUGCUAUUUGAAGUUCUGUAGGAGCAUGAGUUGUAAUCACAAAGCCUCUGUCAAGAUUAUCUUUGAUGAAAUGUCUGUCAAUUUCAAUGUGUUUGGUUCUGUCAUGCUGUAUUGGAUUAUGGGCUAUGCUNAUAGCAGACUUAUUGUCACAGUGAAGUUGCACCGGGUGCUCCACUUUGACUUUAAGAUCAUCCAAGAUGAUUUUCAUCCAAAGUCCUUCACACAUUCCUUGAGCAAGGGCUCGAAAUUCAGCUUCUGCACUAGAACGGGAUACUCUAUCUUGCUUUUUGCUUCUCCAUGUUACCAAANUAUCUCCAAGAAAUACACAAUACCCAGAANUAGAUUUUCUAUCNGUAAUAGAACCUNCAUAGUCAGCAUCUGUAUAUAUCUUCAUAUUCAANGUGUCUUCCUUUUUNAAUAAUAGUCCCUUUCCUGGACUUGACUUCAAGUAUNGGAGAAUUUUGUCAACUGCUUGCAUAUGUCUCUCUCUUGGAUCAUGCAUAAAUUGGCUGACUACACUAACUGCAUAAGCAAUGUCUGGUCUUGUGUGUGAUAGAUAAAUCAAUUUUUCCACCAAUCUCUGAUAUUGGGCCUUCUCUACAGGAGCACUUUCUUCACUUCCAAUUCUGUGAUUUUGUUCUAUAGGAACAAUUGAGGUUCUACAUCUCAACUUUUCUGUUUCUUUGAGGAGAUCAAGUACAUAUUUCCUUUGGGAGAUGAAAAUUCCAUUCUUGGAGUAGGCAACCUUUAUUCCAAGAAAAUAUUUGAAUUUUCCUAGGUCUUUCAUUUCAAAUAGAGCUGCCAAUUUUUCCUUUAAUGCCAAUUUCUCUGUUUCAUCAUCUCCUACAAUAAUCAUAUCAUCCACAUAGACAAGCAAUAAAGUGAGUUUACCUGCAGAAGAGUGCUUUAUGAAUAGAGUAUGAUCUCCUUGGCUUUGCCUGUAUCCCAAGGAAACCAUUGCUUUUGUAAAUCUUCCAAACCAUGCUCUGGGGGAUUGUUUAAGACCAUACAAUGCUUUCUUUAGGAGACAUACUUUGUUUCUUUCAUUUUUUCACUUCAAAACCUGGAGGAAUCUCCAUGUACACUUCCUCAUCUAGAUCUCCAUGAAGAAAGACAUACUUCACAUCCAACUGGUGUAAGUCCCAUCCAAAAUGGGCAGCCAAAGCGAGAAUAACUCGAACUGUAUUCAUCUUUGCCACUGGGGCAAAUGUCUCCUCAUAAUCAAUCCCAUAUGUCUGGGUAUAUCCUUUUGCCACCAAUCUAGCUUUAUAUCUUUCUAUUGUCCCAUCUGCCUUAUGUUUGACUGUGAAUAUCCAUCUACACCCUACUGCCUUCUUGUCUCUUGGCUUAUCAACAAUCUCCCAAGUUGAAAUUCUUUCUAAUGCAUUCAUCUCUUCUUUCAUAGCUUGAUUCCAAUGUUCAAGUUUCAUGGCCUCCUGGAUUGAGGUAGGUAUUUUUGUGGCAUCAAUGGCAGCAAUAAAACUUUUGUGCUUAUCAGAGAGAUUGUUAGUGCAAACAUAUUGAGAAAUAGGAUAUUUAACACAUGAUCUUCUUCCCUUUCUCAAUGCAAUAGGUAAAUCCUCANUAAUACUUACCUCCUCCUCAUUGAUAUCUCCAGGGAUUCUCACCUCCGGAUCAGACAAUUCUUCUUGCUCUAGAGUCGAAGUGGGUUGUUCUCUUCUUGCAUAUUUUUUGCCAAAAAAUUUGUCUUCCUCUUCUUGCUCACUGUGGACUAUGGUAGCUUCAUUGCUCAGAUCCUGGGCAUCCUGUUGAUGAGAUAUGUGGCAGUUAACACAGCUUCUCCCCAGUAAUGUUUGGGAACAGACAUUUGAAAAAGAAGAGCUCUAGUUACCUCAAGAAGAUGACGAUUCUUUCUUUCAGCAACCUCAUUUUGUUGAGGAGUGUUAACACAGGUUAGUUCGUGAACAAUACCAUUAUGAGAUAAAAAAUUGAGGAAUUCAUGAUUCACAUAUUCAGUACCAUUAUCAGACCUAAUUUUUUUUAUAUUUUUCCCAAAUUGAGUUUGGACAAGACGGAAAAAGUUAACAAAAAUUUGAAAAACUUCAUAUUUAUUUUUCAUAAGGUAUGUCCACGUGACACGAGUACAAUCAUCAAUAAAGGUAACAAACCAUUUGGCUCCAGAAAUAGAAUCUAUGACAGGACCCCAAACAUCAGAGUGAAUUAAAUCAAANGGAGAAAUACUCUUUUUAUUACUAAUAGGAUAAGAUGCACGAUGGUGCUUUGACAAUUGACAAAUAUCACAAUUAAAAGACUCAACAGACUCCUUGGUAAACAAAUGGGGAAACAGGGACUUGAUAAGANUAAAUGAAGGAUGCCCAAGCCUUUGAUGAUGUAACCAUAUUUGUGAUUUGGCCCACGUCUUGGAUGUAACUUGUUGACUCAUGAUUUGUGUGUUGCUUUGGUCAUCAAACUCUAAAAAAUACAACNCACUUUGCUCCUUAGNAGUUAAAAUCGUCUUCCCCGUGGCAAGAUCCUGAAAAACACAAUAAGUUGGAAAAAAUAUUACCGANCAAUUUAAAUCCUUUGUGAAUUUUUGCACAGAGAUAAGACUAUUAGCUAAUUGAGGAACAUGUAAAACAUCCUUCANUAUAAUAGAUGAGUCCAAGAGUAUAUUCCCAGAGCCGCAUACAGGUAUACUCUGUCCAUUUGCAACUGUAAUAAGUUGUUCUUUAUUGCUCUUGCUAUAUGAAUCAAAAUUCCCACUAAAAGGUGUCAUAUGAUCAGUUGCACCCGAAUCAAGGAUCCAAAUACCGUGAGACACAUGACCAACAGUAUUGAGACAAAUCUUACCUUUUAUGGACAAAGUACAUGAUCCAGAGGGCUUACUCAUUGAUUCAAGCAUUGCUUCCAAGCGCUCGAGUUUCUCCUUAUAAGUUUGCAUAUCAAGAACUGGUGGUGGUGGUGGAUUAGGUUGAUUUGUGGCUUCCCGUUAUGAGGUAGUAUGAUUUACCCACUUUUGAGUAGGCCCUUUGUUGUUUCCCAUGCGCUCGAGAACAUUCUUUUUUCCAUGUAGUUUGAAGCAUAUUUCCUUGGUAUGUCUAGAUCUUUUACAGUAUGUACAAUAGUCCCCAUGAGUACCUCUUUCAAACGUUUUUCCCCCAGCAUUUGUUCCCUUGUGCACUCCCUUUCCAAUUGUCAUGGCAGAGCCUGUGUUGGAGAUCCCUCCAUGAAGCAUGACAGAUCUCCGAGUUUCUUCUCCUCUUACCAUAAAAAAAACUUCUGACAGUGGUGGUAAUUUUUCUCUUCCAAAAAUGUGAACCCGGAUUGGGUCGUACUCAUGAUUAAGGCCCUGAAGAAAUUUAAAGAUUUUUUCUCCUUCCAUGAAUUCAGCAAGAGCGGCAGCAUCUGUUUUACACAUCUUUAUUGUUUGGAUCUGAUCGAGUUCCAUCCAAAGACCAUUCAAGAUCCCGUAAUACUCUGUUACGGAAAGGAAGCCCUGUUUUGUAUUAAAUAUCCUGUUCUUGAUAUCAUAGGUAGCAGCAAGAUCCUUUUUUAAAGAAAAAGUACUUUGUAAAUCAUCCCAUAUUUCUUUUGCGGAAGAAUGAAACAUAUAAUUUUUUCUUACUUUUGGAGUCAUGGAUUGCCACAUCCAAGUCAUAAUUAAAGAAUCUUCUCUAUCCCACAUUGAAAAAUGUUUAUCAUCUGGUGCUGGUCCUCCUCCAUCUAUAUGAUCAAGUUUGGAGCGACUCUUGAGAAUCCUUAAAAUAAAUUGACUCCACUGUAAGUAAUUCUGACCAUCCAACCACGAGNUANUUCCUAUAUUUGGUAAGUCAUUGGGUACCCCCAAAGAAAUACUCUUUUCUUCAGACAUCCCGAAAAAAGGGCAAAAACUUCAAACUCAGAUCUACUCAAAUAAAGGCCAAACGGGUCGUCACCAACCCAAGGAAUAGAAUCAGGAGGCUCCGGUGACCCUUCUGUGACGGCGACAGCGAGUGGGUUUCACCGGAAAAAGAGGAGCAAAACGUAAAAGUCAGAUAUGCUCAAUUACAGCCAAAACUAGUCGUCACCGACCCUAGGAACGGACUCAGGGGGCUCCGGUGACCCUGUCUGUGUCGGCGCCGGCGAGUGGGUCUCGCCGGAGGUGGGCGCGUGGGCUACACGCGUCGGCGACGGUGGCGGCGCGUGGCGGCUCCGUUCGAGGAGCGACUUCCGGCUCUGUGAUCGCCGGUGUUGGGCGCACCUUUCUGCCCUAUCGACGACCCCGACCGGUGACGGUGGCAGCGGCGGUGGUCGGACAGUGGCGGUGGUACGCUUCUUGCAGCGGAAUCUAGCCCCUAAGAUCAGGAGCUCUGAUACCAUAUUAGAAAGUGGGUUUAAGCCUAACUCAACCCUACAAAACCGGCUUAUAAGGUGAGGUUUGCACCUUACUUAUAUAUUAUAAUUUGGCCUUAUCUCUAGUCGAUGUGGGACUUCCAACACACCCCCCUUCACGCUGAGGUAUAGACAACUCGUGCGUGAUAGUAGAAAUUGGGUGGUCCAAUAUUGGCCCGACAAUGGGUGGAAUAGAAACAGAAAUGCCCACUUAGAACUCGAUAGGAUAGGCUUUAAUCAUGGCUCUGAUACCAAGUUGAAAAUGAGACUUAUUAUUAUUCUCAAAUCAUGAAAAAUACAUUCUCAAACCUUCUAUUUGUAAUAAUCUAGAUCUCCUAAAAAGGGAAAUAGGAAAACUAGGAAACCUAGGGAAAAAUAAAAUAAAAUAAAAUAUUAUGUAUCUAUUUCUUCUAAUUAGGAAGAUUCUACGGAUAUUAUCCCAUAUUACAACAAAAGGAAUAACACAUUUUACUGUGAUUACAUAGAGAAUUAUAUACUUUGUACAGACCGGUUUCGAACCCGGUAAGGGGGGUUAGGCCCUCGACGCACACAUUGUUUUCAUUGUUCGUUAGAGUGAAUAAUAUACCCAUUGUUUGAUUCUUUUGGUCUUGUGUGAGUGCGUAUCAGUGAGUGAGGGAGA